AACCACGUGAUUCAAUAUGGCGUUAAUUAACAACUACAACAAACAGUUUUUGGAUUUAGAAUUGAAAUUGUAGACGUUUUGUGAUUAUUUGAAGUAUAUUUUCGAGUUUAUUUUGUUGUUUAUAAUAAUUUUCAAGUUAUAAAAUGGAUAUGAUUGAAGAAAAUCGGGAUUAAAAUGAACGUUUUGGAUCUAUUAUUUAAUAUUUCUGCAAAAAUUUAUAGAAGAAAUGUGUUCCGAUACUAAAUUUGUAUAUUUCUAUCCUUUCCCAUUUUCUAAUUAAUCAUUUGAAGUGGAACAUGAAAGUCUCCGGUCGUCAAUAGAGUAGCUGCAUCGGACAGGACAGGAAAUACCCUCCUACUACCGCCCUUCAUCCCUCCUGCUGAUAUCGCCGUUCAUAUUCCUGCUAUUGCUGUUCUCGGAACUGAUUGUGACAACCAGUGGUAGAACCGAUAAAACAUCGAGUAUUUAUGGUUUAUACAAGAGAAUAAUAAAUAAUCAUUUUUGGAACAUCGCUGAUCAAAGGGAAUUGGUUGAAUCUGAGGAGGGUUGAGCGCUAACAUUUUUUCGAUUUCUUAACUGUGCCCCAAUACUUUUUACAACCCUUUAACGACAUAUUUAUUAUUUGAUUUCAUGUCGUAGCUGUACAUAAAAGUACGGGUCUUCUCGCGUAUAUAUACAAAGCGUUUCCUACUUACACGCCACUGUUUGAAUGAAAAUCACACUGUAUCAAAAAAAAGUAUUCGAAAAACAGUUGAAAGUGAAACAAAUACACAGGAAACUUCUGGGAAAUUAGAAAAUGUACGAAUAAUGUUAUAGAAAUAUGUGAGUUAAAUCAUUGACGUCUUCGAACUGUUUCCGGUUUCUGCCGGGAUAUUUUGGUUUAACUAUAUAUCUAGUUUUAUUUAUAAACUGAUUAAUUUAACGAAAUAUAAAGAAAAUGAGUUCGUUGGGAGAAAAAAAUAAUUAUUCAGGAACUAGAAAUAAUUAAAAUUGUACAGGAAAUGAUUGGAGUUUAAUUAAGUAGAAUAUAAUCGAUAACAACAGGUAAAAGAUAACUAAAAGUUGAUAUAAAUAUGAUUAACUUGAGUUGCAAAUGGAGAAAAAUGAAUUCGGGUUAUGGAGUGGCCAGUUUACAGUCCUGACCUACAUCGGAUAAAAUAUUUAUGGGAUGAGAUAAAAAGAAGAAUUCUAACUCGACAUCCCAUCCCAAACUCGAUCCCAGAACUUAUUGUUGAAGAAGAAGAGAGUGAGAGUUAGAGUUGUCGACUAUACUGGUUUAAACGAUAUUAUACUACUAAAUUAUACUUUUUACUGUUGAACAGAACAGAAGAAUAUAAAAUAAUGUUUGUAGUCACGCAAAUUUAUUCUUCACUUUGAGUUUAUGAACGAAUCUGUCAAUGUCAAAUAUUCUGUCAUUCAUUGACAGAUAUGCGAGUGUGUGCGUUCUCAAAACAUAAGUUUCGUGUCAUCGAAGUCUUCGGUUACAUUUGAUCAUCAAUUAUAGAUAAACUGAGUUUGUAUAGACUCGAUAUUGGUUUGAAUGAUUUAUAUUAAGAAUUAACAAAUUUUAAAGUUAUUUAUGCAAAAAUAUGAGUACUGGCCAAUACUGAAGCUAUUUAUGAGGAUUUAAAACCGUAACCAAAAUUGUUUCAUAUCUACUUAAAAUUGUGGUGAGACGUUUGGAGUUUUUAUGAAAGAUUGUUAAUAAGUGAGUUAUUCGAGAAGCUCUAAAAAAUAUGUAUAAGGUUGGAAUUCAGUAUUUUCGCUUUUUAUUGAUAGAGAACUUGCUCGGAAAGGUUUAUUGAUAAUCCAAGGUCUCACACAUAUUUGGCAACUCCAAACCAAACGAUCAAUUCUGAUGGUUUUUAUCAAAUAUUAAAGAAACUAGAUGAAGUAAUCGAAGAAAAAUGG